AUUAUAUCAGUAAUAAUUUCUUCGGUAGUUUCUUUUAUAUGGAUACCUGCAGUAAUUCUGGAAAUAAUACAUGCUGUAAGAGCCCUGUAUGGGGCUGCACUUAUUAGAUUGAAGCCGAUUUUAUUGGUGAAUCAUGAUAAUUGAGCAGAUUGACUUUUUUGGUCGAUGAAUCGUUUGAGUUUCUGCCCCAUCAGUUGUCGACGGUAGUGUAUUGGACUACGGUGACUAUAACGGGGGACGGAAAGUUAGGGCUCGACUCCGGAAAGGGAGCCUGAGAGACGGCUACCAUAUCCAAGGAUAGCAGCAGGCGCGUAAAUUACCCACUGGGGACUCCACGAGGUAGUGACGAGAAAUAUCGAUGCGAAGCGUGUAUGCGUUUUGCUAUCGGAAUGAGAGCAAUGUAAAACCCUCAUCGAGGAUCAACUGGAGGGCAAGUCUGGUGCCAGCAGCCGCGGUAAUUCCAGCUCCAGAAGCAUAUGCUAAAGUUGUUGCAGUUAAAAAGCUCGUAGUUGAAUUUCUGGCAUGGGCGACCGGUGCUUUCCCUGAAUGGGGAUUGAUUGUCUGUGUUGCCUUGGCCAUCUUUUUCUUUUCUUUAUUGGGGAGAAAUCUUUCACUGUAAUCAAAGCAGAGUGUUCCAAGCAGGUCGUAUGACCGGUAUGUUUAUUAUGGGAUGAUAAAAUAGGACUUGGGUGCUAUUUUGUUGGUUUGCACGCCUGAGUAAUGGUUAAUAGGAACAGUUGGGGGUAUUCGUAUUUAGGAGCUAGAGGUGAAAUUCUUGGAUUUCCGAAAGACGAACUAGAGCGAAGGCAUUUACCAAGCAUGUUUUCAUUAAUCAAGAACGAAAGUCUGGGGAUCGAAGAUGAUUAGAUACCAUCGUAGUCUAGACCGUAAACGAUGCCGACUUGCGAUUGUUGGGUGCUUUUUUAUGGGCCUCAGCAGCAGCACAUGAGAAAUCAAAGUCUUUGGGUUCCGGGGGGAGUAUGGGCCCAAGGGUGAAACUUAAAGGAAUUGACGGAAGGGCACCACCAGGAGUGGAGCCUGCGGCUUAAUUUGACUCAACACGGGAAAACUUACCAGGUCCAGACAUAGGUAGGAUUGACAGAUUGAGAGCUCUUUCAUGAUUCUAUGGGUGGUGGUGCAUGGCCGUUCUUAGUUGGUGGAGUGAUUUGUCUGGUUAAUUCCGUUAACGAACGAGACCUCGGCCUACUAAAUAGUGCGUGGUAUGGCAACAUAAUACGUUUUUACUUCUUAGAGGGACAUGUCCGGUUUACGGGCAGGAAAUUCGAGGCAAUAACAGGUCUGUGAUGCCCUUAGAUGUUCU
rnacentral:rRNA from 1 species